AGCGAACGCUUGCUGCAGGCUUAACACAUGCAAGUCGUAGGGGCACUUCGGUGUCAGUGGCAGACUGGUGAGUAACACGUGGGAACGUACCUCUUGGUUCGGAACAACACAGGGAAACUUGUGCUAAUACCGGAUAAGCCCUUACGUGGACAGAUUUAUCGCCGAGAGAUCGGCCAGCGUCUGAUGAGCGAGUUGGUAGGGUAACGGCCUACCAAGGCGACGAUUAGUAGGUGGUCUGAGAGGAUGAUCAGCCACAUUGGGACUGAGACACGGCAAAAACUCCUACGGGAGGCAGCAGUGGGGAAUAUUGGACAAUGGGGGCAACCCUGAUCCAGCCAUGCCGAGUGAGUGAUGAAGGCCCUAGGGUUGUAAAGCUCUUUUGUGCGGGAAGAUAAUGACGGUACCGCAAGAAUAAGCCCCGGCUAACUUCGUGCCAGCCGCCGCCGUAA
rnacentral:rRNA from 1 species